GAAAUGCGAUAAGUAAUGUGAAUUGCAGAAUUCAGUGAAUCAUCGAAUCUUUGAACGCACAUUGCGCCCGCCAGUAUUCUGGCGGGCAUGCCUGUCCGAGCGUCAUUUCAACCAUCAAGCCCCCGGGCUUGUGUUGGGGACCUGCGGCUGCCCGCAGGCCCUGAAAACCAGUGGCGGGCUCGCUGUGACACCGAGCGUAGUAGCAAUCACCUCGCUCAGGGCGUGCUGCGGGUUCCGGCCGUUAAACAGCCUUACAAAACCCAAGGUUGACCUCGGAUCAGGUAGGAAGACCCGCUGAACUUAAGC
rnacentral:misc_RNA from 1 species